GGGCAUGGCGGCAUCGCAAAUGUUUGCCAUGGUGCCCCGGAACCAGCCGACCUCCGCAUCCACGUCCGCGAGCCGCGCGGGUUUUGGCGCCCACGCAGCAACAGCGGCCGCCUCCA